GACGAACGCUGGCGGCGUGCCUAAUACAUGCAAGUAGAACGCUGAAGGAGGAGCUUGCUUCUCCGGAUGAGUUGCGAACGGGUGAGUAACGCGUAGGUAACCUGCCUGGUAGCGGGGGAUAACUAUUGGAAACGAUAGCUAAUACCGCAUAAGAGUAGAUGUCGCAUGACAUUUGCUUAAAAGGUGCAACUGCACCACUACCAGAUGGACCUGCGUUGUAUUAGCUAGUUGGUGAGGUAACGGCUCACCAAGGCAACGAUACAUAGCCGACCUGAGAGGGUGGUCGGCCACACUGGGACUGAGACACGGCCCAGACGCCUACGGGAGGCAGCAGUAGGGAAUCUUCGGCAAUGGACGGAAGUCUGACCGAGCAACGCCGCGUGAGUGAAGAAGGUUUUCGGAUCGUAAAGCUCUGUUGUAAGAGAAGAACGAGUGUGAGAGUGGAAAGUUCACACUGUGACGGUAUCUUACCAGAAAGGGACGGCUAACUACGUG
rnacentral:rRNA from 1 species